rnacentral:rRNA from 1 species
UACGGGAGGCAGCAGGGGGAAUAUUGCACAAUGGGCGCAAGCCUGAUGCAGCCAUGCCGCGUGUAUGAAGAAGGCCUUCGGGUUGUAAAGUACUUUCAGUCGUGAGGAAGGUGUUAAGGUUAAUAACCUUAGCAAUUGACGUUAGCGACAGAAGAAGCACCGGCUAACUCCGUGCCAGCAGCCGCGGUAAUACGGAGGGUGCGAGCGUUAAUCGGAAUUACUGGGCGUAAAGGGCACGCAGGCGGUUAAUUAAGUUGGAUGUGAAAUCCCCGGGCUUAACCUGGGAAUGGCAUUCAAGACUGGUUAGCUAGAGUCUUGUAGAGGGGGUAGAAUUCCAUGUGUAGCGGUGAAAUGCGUAGAGAUGUGGAGGAAAUACCGGUGGCGAAGGCGGCCCCUGGACAAAGACUGACGCUCAUGUGCGAAAAGCGUGGGGAGCAAAACAGGGAUUAGAUACC